rnacentral:rRNA from 1 species
CCUACGGGGGACAGCAGUGAGGAAUAUUGGUCAAUGGGAGCAAUCCUGAACCAGCCAUGCCGCGUGAACGAUGAAGGAUUUCGGUAUGUAAAGCUCUAUCAGCAGGGAAGAAAAUGACGGUACCUGACCAAGAAGCCCCGGCUAACUCCGUGCCAGCAGCCGCGGUAAUACGUAGGGGGCAAGCGUUAUCCGGAUUUACUGGGUGUAAAGGGAGCGUAGACUGUCCGGCAAGACAGAUGUGAAAGCCCGGGGCUCAACCCCGGGACUGCAUUUGGAACUGUAAGGCUAGAGUGUCGGAGAGGCAGGCGGAAUUCCUGGUGUAGCGGUGAAAUGCGUAGAUAUUAGGAGGAACACCAGUGGCGAAGGCGGCCUGCUGGACGAUGACUGACGUUGAGGCUCGAAAGCGUGGGGAGCAAACAGGAUUAGAUACCCUAGUAGUC